rnacentral:rRNA from 1 species
CACGUAGGGCGCAAGCGUUGUCCGGAAUUAUUGGGCGUAAAGAGCUCGUAGGCGGUCUGUUGCGUCCGCUGUGAAAACCCGGGGCUUAACCCCUGGCUUGCAGUGGAUACGGACAGACUAGAGGUAGGUAGGGGAGAAUGGAAUUCCCGGUGUAGCGGUGGAAUGCGUAGAGAUCCGGAAGAACACCGGUGGCGAAGGCGGCCUGCUGGGCAGUUGCUGACGCUGAGGCGCGACAGCGUGGGGAGCAAACAGG